rnacentral:rRNA from 1 species
UACGAGGGGUGCAAGCGUUGCUCGGAAUUAUUGGGCGUAAAGGGGAGGUAGGUGGUCUCAUUUGUCAGGGGUGAAAUCCUUGGGCUUAACUCAAGAAGUGCCCCUGAAACGGUGAGACUCGAGUCCUGGAGAGGGUCGUGGAAUUCCCGGUGUAGCGGUGAAAUGCGUAGAGAUCGGGAGGAACACCAGAGGCGAAGGCGGCGACCUGGACAGGUACUGACACUCAACUACGAAAGCGUGGGGAGCAAACAGG